rnacentral:rRNA from 1 species
UACGUAGGGUGCGAGCGUUAAUCGGAAUUACUGGGCGUAAAGCGUGCGCAGGCGGUUUUGUAAGCCAGAUGUGAAAUCCCCGGGCUUAACCUGGGAAUGGCAUUUGGGACUGCAAGGCUUGAGUUUGGCAGAGGAGACUGGAAUUCCUGGUGUAGCAGUGAAAUGCGUAGAUAUCAGGAGGAAUACCGAUGGCGAAGGCAGGUCUCUGGGCUAUAACUGACGCUCAUGCACGAAAGCGUAGGGAGCGAAACAGG